rnacentral:tRNA from 1 species
GGUUGUGGCUCAAUGGUAGAGUGCUUGUCUAGCACAUGUGAGGCACUGGGUUCGAUCCUUAGCACCA